rnacentral:lncRNA from 1 species
GUUGAUCGUUCAUUCCGUGACAUAAUGCGACUUAAAGACCCCAGUAAUCUAGAAAAACCAUUUGGUGGAAAGACAGUUCUUCUUGGGGGAGAUUUCAGGCAAAUCUUACCUGUUUUACCCAAGAAAGGACGAGCAGAUAUUGUCAUGUCAUCCAUCAGUAAAUCUUACCUAUGGAAACAAUGUAAAGUUUUUAAACUGGAUCAAAAUAUGAGAAUAGAAGCAAAUGUACCACCAGUAACAGUUGGAGGGAUCUCAAUUCCAUACAUGGAAUGGAUAAUUAAGGUUGGUGAUGGUACGGCAGAAUCAGUAUCGAUGGAUGAUUCGGGAGAGGCAAAUUUAAUCGAAAUACCAAAAGAAUUACUACUGGAUCCUGGGGAUGAUGGUAAGAAAACAAUUAUUGAUAAAAUAUACUCAGAACUAGAAGCAAGACAUAUGGAGCCAAAUUAUUUUAGAGAUCGUGCUAUUCUGACACCUAUUAAUGAAGAUGUCGAUUCUAUAAAUACAGAAGUAUUAAGGCGAUCAACAGGUACAAGUUGUGUCUAACCUGUUCCACUUAUUAUUUAUAUAAUACACACUUAGUUACAUUUCACAAUUUUAUUUAUUUUUGUACUACAAUCUUACGAUUUCAAUUACUACAGGUAAAUGUGAGCUCUAUCGAAGCUUCGAUUCUAUAUGCAAGAGCUCAGUGAAUUAUGAAUCUCAGGAAAGUAUGAAUCCUAUAGAGUUUCUGAACUCUCUGACCUUUUCUGGCAUUCCUAAACAUGAGCUAAGACUCAAAGUUGGUUGUCCAAUUGUACUCCUUCGGAAUAUAUGUCCUUCAAGAGGUCUUUGCAACGGCACGAGGUUAAUUGUUACCCAACUGUGUAAAAAAGUUAUUGAAGGUGUUAUAAUUACAGGCAGUCAUAUUGGAGAGAAGACUUUCAUCCCCAGAAUAUGCAUGAGGCCCACAGAUUCUACACUACCUUUUGUAUUGAAGAGAAUACAAUUUCCAGUGGCUUUAUGUUAUGCCAUGACAAUAAAUAAAAGCCAAGGCCAAACUUUAAGAUCUGUGGGCCUAUAUCUUCCCCACCCCGUUUUCAGUCAUGGACAAUUUUAUGUGGCUAUAUCAAGAGUUACAUCACCAACAGGAUUACACAUAGUUUGUGAGCCCACUAGCCAUCCAAUUGAAGGGAGAACUAAAAAUGUUGUUUACCAUGAAAUCUUCACAAAUCUGUAAAUCCCGUCUUUAUAAUGAAAAAUGUCAUAUGCCUUACUAUAUUCAUUUAGAUAUGUUAUUUGAUUAAUGAAUAAGAUAUGCCUUUUACCUAACUUUGUAAUACUUUUUAUUGUUCCCAAAAGACCUUUCAGUUCAGACAUCCAUGUUACUGAAUGUUACUGAUGAAUGUUACUAAGAUUGUAAUAAUAUUAAUAAAAUAUUAAACUCAUUUCCGAAUUCAUAUUUACAAAAAGUGUGUUAUUUCUUAGUAUAAUAUCCAAGACACGUUACCUCAUACUUAUUAAUCGACCAAAUAUAUAUUUUUGUCAUAAGAAAUAAUAUUGAGAAUUAAAAAACCACUUUAACUAAUUAAAAUAUAGUAUAUGUCUGUAUAUUAGUUUAACUAGGUUACACAGUUAAUUUUAAAUUUAACAAAUAUAUUCAUAAAGGCAUUUAAUUUUAUAUUCAAACUCCUUUUAAAUAUAGGAAUAACAAAACCAAUUACAAUUCAAAAAAGAUAACAUAUGUACAGCAUAUACAUAUUAACCAAAUACAACUUAUAGGAUGAUUCAAUAUCCAUACACAAUCCAAAACAGACAAGGUUUGUAACUUUACUUUCCUAGAGGGUAAAGGUUUUAAACUUAUUUCUAAUUUCAUAUUUACAAGAAGUGUGUUAUUUCUUAUUAUAAUAUCCAAAACAAGUUAUAUCAUAAUUAUUAAUCGACCGAAUAUAUAUUUGUCAUAAGAAAUAAUUUUCACAAUUAAACAACUGGUUGAACUAAUUAAAAUAUAGUAGAUGUGUGUAUAUUAGUUUGACUAAGUUACACAGGGAAUUAUAAAUUUCAAAAGUAUAUUCAUGACGCAUUUAAUUUUAUAUUCAAACUCCUUUUAAAUAUAGGAAUAACAAACCAAUUCCAAUUCAAAUUAGAAAACAUAUGUACAACAAAUACAUGUUAACCAAAUACGACUUAUAGGAGGAUUCAAAGUCCAUACACAAUUCAAAAAAGAAAAUGUUUUUAGCUAUAGUUUCCUAGAAGGUAAAGGAUUUCUAAUACAGAUUUAAAGCUAUGCUUAAUCUAAUAUUGUUGACUAUAAAUAUAGAACACCACCAAGGAUUACCUUGGCAAUCAUCACCUACAUACGACGAUAAUACCAGAGAUAGGUAACCAACUUCUGCAACUUUUUCUUUUCAUAUAUGUUAUCUAUAUGUUUAUCAAUAUUCAUCACAGACAUGUAACAACACUAACACUCUCUGCACAAAAAAUUCCUCACAACUACAUAUUAUAUUAUUGUAAUGUACAUGUUUACCUGUACAUAUGCAUAGCCUUCUCCACCUUUGGGAUUCUUAAUCAAAAAGCACAUUAAAACCUGCAUAUAUCAGAAUUAAUAUAUGUUAACAACAGUUAUCACAUGUAUAUGUCGUCCACUCACAAAACAAACUCUCUUUCUGCACAAAAAAUUUCACACAACUCUAUAUUAUUGUAAUGUACAUGUUUACCUGUACAUGUGUAGAGCCUUCUCCACCUUUGGGAAUCUUAUAUCAAAAGCACAUUAAACCUGCAUACAUCACAAUUAAUAUAUACUAAUAUUAUUAUAUAGUACAAUGGUUAUCACAUGUAUAUGUUGUCCCCUCACAAGACCAACUCCAUGACAAUUUUGACUAAUAUAUAUGUAGUAUACUAGCACAUCACACAAACCAUAAACAUGGAAUACUAAUCGCAUGCUUAGACAUGAUACUGUACAAAUUAUCUGAUGUUUGUAUGCAUGUUGUUAAUCAAUGACAGGGAUAUUUUUAAACAACACAAUGUCGAAUGAUAACCAGCUCAUAAGAGGACUCACAAUGGAAAAAGAUGAUAAUAGUAUAAAGGUUCGUUUAAUCAGGAUGUGGGAUGCGAUCAACAGAAACACAAAGCUCAUAAUAAACAGAAAUCUCAUUCUGCUCGAUGAAGAGGUAAACACAAAAAACAAAUUGUUUCCUUCUAAAAUUUAUUUCAAUCUUAACUAUUUACCAAUUAUGCAGAAUGAGGAUAUUCAUGUGACACUUCGAGUCAACCAGUUCGAUCAAUUCACCAACAAACUACAUGUGGGCGACACAUACAUCAUAACUAAUGUAAAGGUUGUGCCAGCAGCAGAUUCUUAUAAACCGAUACCUGGAAAAAAUGCUCUGAAUUUUCAGAGGAAGACAAUAAUCAAAAAAACUUUUGACAACAGCACCAUACCAACAUACAAAUUCCACUGUUUACAGUUCGAUCAAGCCAAAACAAGGGUUGGAAAUAUUAUCAACCUCAUCGGUACACUUCUCUAAAUUGCCUAUUACUAUAUUUAAGUUUAUUUUAAUAAAUAUUAUUAUAAUCCAUUAUAAAUCCCCAGUUCAUUAAUUUACAAGUACAGCACAUUCCAAUCUGAUCAGUACAAUGUAUAUAAUGCAUGAAAGAAAUCCCACCAUUAUAUCUGAUUUAGUAUAGUGUAUCUCACCUUUAUUGUAAAUAUCGAUGCAAUAGAUGUGGCUGGAAAAUUGAUAGAAUACACCGAGCUUCAAACAACUGGCUAUGGCAGCGAGAAGAUGGAGAUCCUCCUUGAAAAUCAGCGGUAUAUACCAAUUUAAACUCACCUCUUUUGACUUGGAUAUAGAAAUAUCCUGCAUAAAAAUAUUUUGUUAAUUUUACAGGUCUGAAACUAUCAAGAUAACUUUGUGGGAAGACAAAGCAAAAACUUUCAUUGCUGAAAUAUCCAACUACAGGAACUCACACACAUAUGUCAUCGUGACAGGAACCCUCGCAAAGAACAUUGGACGUAAGUUGCCAACAAAACUAUGUUUAAUAUUUUUUAUUCUUUCUGGUGAUAUUAAUCUACAAUCAAUAUUUAAAUCCUGCCUAACGUAAAAUCCCAUUAAACAGGCCAAUUUCUUCUAUCAACCACAAGUUCAACCCAAAUUUACUUCAACAUAGAACAUCCUGUAAUAAUGGAUUUAAAAGAAACCUUGGAAGGAAGAAAAGUAGCUGGUGAAGACAUCCCAAAAGCAGUUUCAUACAUACAAAUAGGAGGACAAGACAUACCAACUGAUAUAAAAGAUAUGACAAUUGUCGAAAUACUUGACGCCAAGCUUGAGGGCAAUCUCAAAGUAAGUAAAUUUCAGAUUUAAUUGAUUUUAUAAUAAUCUGAAAAUCAUGACCUCACUUUCGUCUGCUAUUUACAGGAUGUAUUAUGCCUAACCAAAGCGACAAUAACAGAAAUAAUACCAAAUUUUGGUUGGUAUUACAUAGCUUGCAACAACUGCUUCAAGAAGAUGAAAGGGACAAUUGAAAAAAAAUAUUGUGCUCAGUGUCCAAACCAACCAACAAAAACCACCUAUGCAUACAUGGUCACUGUGAAGGUCAGAGAUUCUACAGGAUCUACCACAUUUGUACUGUUUGACAAGCAGGCCAAAAUCCUUACUGGUGUUCCGGUUCAACACAUUCUUAACACUGACGAGGCAAGUUUCUAAUUAAUAAAAUAGUGUGAUACAAAAAACAAAUUCUUCAACACUAACUUUCAAUUUAUUGUUUCAUUUACAGGAAGCAUCACCUUUCCAAAUCCCAAUCGCUGUAAAUAAUAUUAUUGGCAAAGAAUGCAUCUUUCAGUUGAAGUUGACAGCUCGAAACAUUGAUGACGGCCAAUUCACAGUUAUGAAGGUUACUGAGUCGAAGGCUGAGGCAGAAGUCGACCCAAAUACAUCCGACCACGAAAGAAAAUCUCAUCCGCCAUCCAUCACAACAAAACAUACCAAAAAACGCAAUGCAGGGACUGUUGACGAAGUGACAAAGAACACUGCAGGAACCAGCCACCACAAAAAUAAGUCUAUCAAACUUAGUGAUGAAAAUACCUGCAGCAAGAAUGAAACUGGCACUGUUUCAGAAGAAUAACCACAACCAUCCUAAGAUCUCCUCUAUAUGAUAGUCGAAAUAGGAAUAAUUUUUGGAAGAUGCUUGACUUUAUUCAAUAACUCAAAGAAAGAUUCACUUAUUUUUGUUUAAGGCACUUCAAUGAAACUGUUAUUUGGCAUUAAUUUAAGCAGAAAUCAAAGAUAUUCUUAGUCUCACUUGAUUGUCUUAAUUGAAUGAUAAAGUCUAUGGAUUUAAAUAAACCACUGUUUUAAACAUCUUCAUAUUUUGCCCCAUCCAUUUCGAGGACUAAAGCUUUUAUUUUUUAUUUUUAUAUAAUAUUAAACACAUUUCAUGAAUUUAUAAUAUCUAUAUAUUAAGUGACUAGCAAUAUAUAAUCAAUUAUAUUAGUUAAACCGUUCUUUUACUAGAAAAAGACACAAGACUUGAGAAUAGCUCUAAAUGCCAUAAAACAAAUGUUAAUAAUAAUAUUAUUACAAGCGAAUUUUUACAUGUGUUUAUUCCUAAUAAUAAUCUCCUAAUUUAAUUUUUGUUUCUUUAGCUACUUUCCAUACGCAAAAAAAAACUAUUUUUAACAACACUAUACAAUAUAAUCCAUAUAACAAAAAUUAUUCGUACAACUUACAUACAAUUAGUUUUUUUUAGUGAAACAAUAUCCGUAUGAAUGUUACUUCCUCUUUAUAAUUUACACAUUGUACACAAUAUUAUAUAUACAUCCCAACAUUAAUUUAUGAGCUAUUGAAAUAAUUAUGUUAUCCUUACAAUAAAGUUAAAUUGUGUAUUACUAUGUUAACAAAAAAUAAUAUUCCAAGUUCAAACAAAAUAUUAAAACUUCAUCCUCCACUUUAGAUUCAAGUCUUUUCCAACAAGUAUUAGAAUUCUAAUACAUAUAUUAUCCUAUCCUUAAUCAAAUAUGAUUUCUUAUCCGACAAGUAUUAGAAAUUCCAAUACAUGUAUUAACCUAUCCCGAUCAAAUAUGAUAUACCUACAUAUAUUGACAACCACGUGUCCAAACCCUUCUCCUAAUGUAAUUAGUAAUAGCACCUCUAAAUUCGGGCAAACUGCCUAGCUUAAUGCAAAAAACUUUUAUCACACACAUAUAUAUAUAUAGAUAAACAACACACCUUUUUAACUCAAAUACUCAACUACCUCUCUCCGGUAAAAGGUAAGCUUCUGCUUCAAUAUUAUAUGUUUAUAUGAUAUAAUUUAUACAUGCAUGAUAAUACAGAUCUCACACAUCUAACAAGAUACAUGAACACAGAUUGUAAUCAAUACUUUAUAAAUUUGACACACCACCACAAUCACAGGUAUCUUGAUCUCUUAAAUAUGUUUAUCCUGACAUACCACUUCCUUACAACAAAAAACAUAUUGUUUAUUUCCCGCAUGGUUAGGACAUAAUAAUAAUUGGCAUAUAUCAUUAUUAACAUGAUCUAUCAGUACAAUAAUAUUCAAUGUUUAUGCAAUAUACUUUCAAUUUUUAAUAAUUAGUGCAAAUUUUCUUAUUUCAGGUUUCAUGAUGGUUAGUCGAUUACCAAUAUUUGCUAUAUUAAUAAUUCUAAAAAGGUUGGCAUCAUCGAGUUUUCAAGACUUCUUUUACUUCUUUAUGACUUGGUCUGCUACACAAUCAAGGAGUACAAUAACAAAUAUGCUGAACUCUUACCCAAUCACUGAAUUGUACACAUGGGGUAACAUACACAACAUGAUUAAUAGAGAUAUGUUCCUCUACUUUAUAGACAUUGCUGGAUCGUUGCAAAAUAAAGAUGCUUUAUUCUACAAAUCAUUCGGAAUUGUUUUACAGAGAAAUACGGGUGCCUACAAUCAAUUUAAUGAUGCUUAUGAAACGCUCCUACUGCUGGCAAACAAUGAUCAUAAUUUAUCAACCUUGGUUGUUAAGGUGUUGGAUAUAUACUACUUUCCCAAGAAAAGAGACGAUGCAAUCGCUGACCUAUCCCAAAUGACCGACACCCCAGGGAAGGAAAAACAGAUUACUCAAAUGAUACAUUUUCUGAAGAUAAUUGUCAAAAAUUUCGGCCAAGUUGAAAUAUUUACAGAGCUAUUUGGACAGCCUAUCUGCCAGCAACAUAAUUCUGCAAAACCUAAAUAUGUCCCGGAUGGAAUGGUGGUUCAACCAUCGUGCAUUAGUCAUUAUGAAUGCCAACAGUGCAAGGCGGCGGUAAUUGUAGCAUGCUUUGCGGGGUUUGGAACAUCGAUAACUAUAUGAUCUACAAAACAUGUAAUUAUUUAUACAUUCCAACUGCACUUUAAUUUUACACAUGUUUGAACUUAGUCGGCUUUAUACUUAUUUUAUAUCAUGCAGACAACAAAGUUCUUUACCAUAGAAUUAUAUAUUACUUUUAACUUUUAAUAACUUGCCUCUUAUAAGACAUAGCCAUAUUCACCAUUCCUCUCAACAAUACAAUAUUUAAAUCUAUUCCAUCAUUUAAGAACUAUUCAAAAUCAAUAAGGUACGAUUUGAGGCAAAGAACAAUUUAAAACUCAGGUCACUUAAUGACAUAUACACAUGAUCACUAACCUUAGAGCAAAUCUCUUUGACCUUCGCAUGUAGGAACUCUUUUCACCCAGCAGAAUAAAAUUAUUAUGCAAUGUCACAAGGUAAAGAUCAGCACCAAUCACACUUCCAGAGGCCUAAUUUGUAUGCAACCAAUCUAUUUUUAGAGGUCAAUUCCAAAAGAUGGCGCAAAGAAAUAUUAAAUUUAAAAUUCACAUAAAUAUAAUACACCCAAACACCGCUUAACACCAGCAUAUAAUAACACAUAGCUUUCAAAACAUGAAAUAAUUAUUUACAAUUUCAUUUACUUUAGGCAAAUCCUACUUUAGAGUUAAAAUACAAAACCUGACAAUUCUAACCAAUAAACAGAUCUCCUAUCUCUUCACACUGCCUUUGCUCCCCAAUUUCAGUAUUUCACUCUUGCCUACAAUGUUAUGUUAUUAUUGUUUAAACUAAACUUACUUUUACAUGAUUAACUUAAUAUGUAAAUUUAAUUCUUAUGGCUUCACUUUUCUUAUUCGAAAAACCAAAUAAAAUAUAUAUCUGGUCAUAUAUACAUGUGGGGAAAACUCAACACACUUCUAUGCACAGGUCAGAAAAUCUAAAACAUCAGCAACAAGAAAAUAUAACAAUCACACACAUGCACCCCUGAAUAUCAAUUGCCUCUAAUAUCAAUUGCCUCUAAUAUCAAUCGCCUCCAAAAACAACACUUUAAUCUGAGCAUUUGUCAAAUUAUAAAACCCAUUUACAUUCUUGAACCUAGACAUAUAUUUUAAUUCAGAAUGAGAAUAUGUCAAUCCCGGUUAAAAAUCACAUCAAGAAAAGUUUAAGCAUUUCAUUUCUCUUAUUCCUAUUCAUGAGAAACAAUAAAGAUAUAUAAAGCAUUAAUCAUUGAAUCCCUACAAUUGGCAACCAAAAUUAAUAGGUAUAGAUUACACGGGAGCAACAAGUAUAACAGCAAGUCAGAUUUGACUAACCCAUUCGUUUGAUUAUGAUUCUGAUCCUUCCGAUAUAGGUGUGAUUCAGAUACUUGGAGAAGGUUCAGACUUGAAAUGUAUGGACUACGGCUUGGUCGGUGUCUCUUCGUGUCUUAA